UAGAGAUAUAUAUGUGUGUACCUGUUCAAGUUGGAGACCGAGAGCGCUUCACUUCUUCUGUUCUAUGGAUUGGUAAAAAUCUUCAGUUUAAUAUAGUGAGUAAUGAUUGGUUUUGGCUAGGUCGGGUGUGGUCCUUGCAAAGUGAUUGCUCCCAAAUACAAAGAGCUAUCUGAGAAGUACCAGGAUAUGGUUUUCCUUAAGCUUGACUGCAAUCAAGACAACAAGGUAUCUAAUUCAAGGAAAGGUUUAACUGUCAUUGCACAUCUUGACAUGUGAAGUCCAGUUUUGGUCUGUCUUGAGUCAAAAACCUGCUUUGGCUUUAUUAGAACAUCGUUCACACACAAUACGUCAUACACCACAUUGGUUGGACUUUGGACUUCAAAGAAAAAGUUAUUUAUUCAGACUUUUACAAUUGGAACAAAGUGAGGCUGAGGUAUUGGACGGAGCUUCAUUCGCGGGAAAUUCACAACAUGGCAACGGACGUCACUGCUUUAUUUCAGAGGACAACGAAUAUGGAAUGCCAUAAUUCUUGACCUUCUUCCCAAAGGUUUAGCAAAAGCCCACAAGGUCUGGUUCGACCAUCCAACAAUGGUUGCAGAGCCUUCACGUCAUUACUCAUGUUUGGUCUGAAAUCAGUUUUGUAUUGUACACAAAAAGCAGCAACUGCAGGUAACGCAUUAUCAUCUUGUUCUAUGUCCUAACCAUUAAUUCCAGCUAAUAUAGUGCCUAUUCAAUUUAUCUUGUCUCACGGUGAUACUUUAAGUUAGAAAAUCUCAAUUGUGUGUUCCAGAUUCAAUCUUUUGUAUAGAGUUAUGUCUUUUUAUAGACUUCUGCUUUUUGCUUAUUUGUUUAGCAAAAGUAAACAUAAGUUUUGAUAUCUAACAAUUUCUUGACAUGAUAA